rnacentral:rRNA from 1 species
UGGGGAAUAUUGGACAAUGGGGGGAACCCUGAUUCCAGCCAUGCCGCGUGUGUGAAGAAGGUCUUCGGAAUUGUAAAGCACUUUAAGUUGGGAGGGAAGGGCAGUAACCUAAAUACGGUUGCUGUCCUUGACCGUUACCCGACAGAAUAAAGCACCGGGCUAACUCUUGUGC